rnacentral:rRNA from 1 species
AGCGAACGCUGGCGGCAUGCCUAACACAUGCAAGUCGCACGGGGGGGCUUCGUCCUCCCAGUGGCGGACGGGUGAGGAACUCGUAGGUACCUGUCGAGGUGUGGAGUAUAACCGCGUGAAACUGCGGCUAAUACCUCAUGACGCCGCGGCGUGCCAGCCGGGGCCAAAGGCGAAAGCCGCCCUCCGAGGGGCCGGCGUCCGAUUAGCUGGUUGGCGGGUUAGCGGCCCACCAAGGCAUCGAGCGGUAGCUGGUCUGAGAGGGUGAUCAGCCACACCGGGAGUGGGAAACGGCCCGGAAUCCUACGGGAGGGAGCCGUGGGGAAUAUUGGCAAAUGGGCGCAAGGAUGAUCGAGUAAUGCCGGGUGGGUGAAGAAGGUCUUCGGAUUGUAAAGCGCUUUAGGCGGGGACGAUGGUGACGGUACCCGAAGAAGAAGCCCCGGCUAACUUCGUG